GCCUGCCACCACGCCCGGCAAUUUUUUUAUUUUUAGUAGAGAUGGGGUUUCUCUACUAAACCCAGGCUGGUCUCAAAUUCCUGACCUCAAGUGAUCUGCCUGCCUCGGCUUCCCAAAAUGCCGGGAUUACAGGAGUGAGCCACCCCAGGUGAAUUUUCUUAUUUCUUUAAGAGAUUAUUUUAUAUUCUUCUAUCAAUAGAUAAUUACCAGGAAGUCCUGCUAAAUCUCUAGGUUAGUUAAGUGCUCCUCUUCUGGGUUCCCAGACAACCCCGUACCUACCCCAAUUUUAACUCUGUAGCAGAACUUGUUUUUUUUUUGUUUUUACAUGCCUGUCUACCCCUGCUAGAUUGCAAACUCUGAGAUUUUAGACUGACCCUUAACUUUCAUUAUAUCCCUCAGUAACUAGCACAGUAUUUGGCAAAUAUCUAAUAAGCUAUAUAUAUAUAUAUAAUGGUUGAACUGAUUUGACUUUUUUUGAAGGCUCACCAUGAUCCUUGUCAACUUCUCCAGCCUCACAUCCCUAAACAGUGGCAUAGAAGUCUUAGUUUUAGUUCAGCACAAAGACCAGUUUCUUACUGUACAGCUUCUGUUCAAGCAAUCCUUUUCCCUUUACUCCUCCCAACCGCCACCACAAGACAUCCCACUUCAACUCUCUGGAAUCAUUUUCUCCUGGAAGUUUUUCCUGACCCAUGACCUCUUCCCAAAGUUGGAUUAAUGCUUCUUCUGAGCUUCAAUAGCUCUCUGUGCAUUUAUCUCUGCACUAUACACAUUACAUCAUAGGGUAAUAAUGCAAACACUCCACCCAAGUUCUUUUUCAUUCAUGUUGGUAUCUUCCAAGAUUAGCACACUGCCUGGCACACAGCAGAUGAGUUAACAAUGUGAUUUGAAUAAAAAGAACGUGGAACAGGGAAAGAAUCUUGGCACACUGUGUGUUUUAGGGAUGCACGGACGUGGAAAUGCAAAUAAUUGGUUGUUUACUAUAUUUUCCUAAGACAUGGCUGGAACUAAAAAAAAAACAGAAAAAGCCUUUCCAAUUUUGAGGCUAAAGUUCAAGUCACAAAACAAGCAAUAAAAGCCUGUUUAGCAAGGAUAGUAAAAUGGUAUAGGGCUAUAAAAGAAGGGACAAAUUAGAAAUCAGGAAAGCAGGCCAUUCAUACAAAUGCAAAUAAAUUGGUUCACAGGAUAAGAGGACACCCAAUCAUGUAAAAACUGGUACAAGCCAGGCACGGUGUCUUAGGCCUGUAAUCCCAGCACUUUGGAAGGCCAAGGCGGGUGGAUCACCUAAGGUCAGGAGUUCGAAACCAGCCUGACCAAUAUGGUGAGACCACGUCUCUACUAACAAUACAAAAAGUAGUCAGGCGUGGUGGUGUGCGCCUGUAGUCCCAGCUACUAG
rnacentral:lncRNA from 1 species